AUUGAACGCUGGCGGCAGGCCUAACACAUGCAAGUCGAGCGGAUGAAGGGAGCUUGCUCCUGGAUUCAGCGGCGGACGGGUGAGUAAUGCCUAGGAAUCUGCCUGGUAGUGGGGGAUAACGUCCGGAAACGGGCGCUAAUACCGCAUACGUCCUGAGGGGGAAAGUGGGGGAUCUUCGGACCUCACGCUAUCAGAUGAGCCUAGGUCGGAUUAGCUAGUUGGUGGGGUAAAGGCCUACCAAGGCGACGAUCCGUAACUGGUCUGAGAGGAUGAUCAGUCACACUGGAACUGUGACACGGUCCAGACUCCUACGGGAGGCAGCAGUGGGGAAUAUUGGACAAUGGGCGAAAGCCUGAUCCAGCCAUGCCGCGUGUGUGAAGAAGGUCUUCGGAUUGUAAAGCACUUUAAGUUGGGAGGAAGGGCAGUAAGUUAAUACCUUGCUGUUUUGACGUUACCAACAGAAUAAGCACCGGCUAGCUUCGUG
rnacentral:rRNA from 1 species